rnacentral:rRNA from 1 species
UACAGAGGUCUCGAGCGUUAGGCGGAAUCACUGGGCUUAAAGCGUGUGUAGGCGGAUUGGUAAGUACCUUGUGAAAUCCCACGGCUUAACCGUGGAACUGCUUGGUAUACUGCCUGUCUUGAGCCAGCUAGGGGCGACCGGAACAAAUGGUGGAGCGGUGAAAUGCGUAGAUAUCAUUUGGAACGCCAAUGGUGAAAACAGGUCGCUGGGGCUGUGCUGACGCUGAGACACGAAAGCCAGGGGAGCAAACGGGG